GAGUAGUGGCUUCAAAUAUCCACUCUGCUAGCGUGAACGGGAGCCAGGAGGAAAUAUUGCACCCUCCUUCUGGGGAAUGAGGAACGGUGCUCUUAGGAAUUAGAGAAUGUUCCAAUACGAGUCUGGGCUCGGUGAGCCGCAAAAUUGGAAGAAAACAGUUACGUGCAGGAAAAAUGACGGGUGCUUCUAGAUACGGAAAGCGUAAUCACCUUCUGGCGAAUCCACCCAAACAUCCUGCAGAAAGGAGAUGCCUGGAGCUCGUGACUCCAGUAGAACUUUUGCCGUCAUCAACACCUUUCAGCGGACUACGGUCGGGAUACCGUCGUCCUCCCGUCUGUCGGUCGGAGCAAGGUCGCCCGGGAGUGAAAGCGACGGCGAACCGAGGGGCGUCACGGAGGAGCGG